AACGAACGCUGGCGGCAUGCCUAACACAUGCAAGUCGAACGAGACCUUCGGGUCUAGUGGCGCACGGGUGCGUAACGCGUGGGAACCUUCCCUUAUGUUCGGAAUAACUCCCCGAAAUGGGUGCUAAUACCGGAUAAUGUCUUCGGACCAAAGAUUUAUCGCCUUUGGAUGGGCCCGCGUUGUAUUAGCUAGUUGGUAUGGUAAAAGCCUACCAAGGCUACGAUCCAUAGCUGGUCUGAGAGGAUGAUCAGCCACACUGGGACUGAGACACGGCCCAGACUCUUACGGGAGGCAGCAGUGGGGAAUAUUGGAAAAUGGGCGAAAGCAUGAUCGAGCAAUGCCGGGUGAGUGAUGAAGGCCUUAGGGUUGUAAAGCUCUUUUACCCGGGAUGAUAAUGACAGUACCGGGAGAAUAAGCUCCGGCUAACUCCGUG
rnacentral:rRNA from 1 species